rnacentral:tRNA from 2 species
GGGGAUAUGGCGAAAUUGGUAGACGCUACGGACUUAAAAUCCGUCGACUUUAUAAAUCGUGAGG